CAAUAGCGUAUAUUAAAGCUGUUGCGGUUAAAAAGCUCGUAGUUGGAUUUCUGUCAAGGACAACUGGUCCGCCCUCCGGGUGAGCACAUAGUUUGGUCUUGGCAUCUUGCUGGAAGCUGUUGCUGCACUUGGCUGUGUGGCGCAGCGUCCAGCACUUUCACUUUGAGGAAAUUGGAGUGUUUCAAGCAGGCACAUGCCUUUGGACACAGUAGCAUGGAAUAAUUAGAUUGGGCUUUUGCUCCAAUUUGUCGGUCUCUGGAGCUGAGGUGAGAAUUAAUGGGGAUUGUUGGGGGCAUCCGAAUUUAGCCGUCAGAGGUGAAAUUCUUGGAUCUGCUAAAGACGGACAACUGCGAAAGCGUUUGCCCAGGAUGUUUUCAUUAA
rnacentral:rRNA from 1 species